CUACGGGGCGCACCAGUGGGGAAUAUUGCACAAUGGGCGCAAGCCUGAUGCAGCCAUGCCGCGUGUAUGAAGAAGGCCUUCGGGUUGUAAAGUACUUUCAGCGGGGAGGAAGGGAGUAAAGUUAAUACCUUUGCUCAUUGACGUUACCCGCAGAAGAAGCACCGGCUAACUCCGUGCCAGCAGCCGCGGUAAUACGGAGGGUGCAAGCGUUAAUCGGAAUUACUGGGCGUAAAGCGCACGCAGGCGGUUUGUUAAGUCAGAUGUGAAAUCCCCGGGCUCAACCUGGGGACUGCAUCUGAUACUGGCAAGCUUGAGUCUCGUAGAGGGGGGUAGAAUUCCAGGUGUAGCGGUGAAAUGCGUAGAGAUCUGGAGGAAUACCGGUGGCGAGGGCGGCCCCCUGGACGAAGACUGACGCUCAGGUGCGAAAGCGUGGGGAGCAAACAGGAUUAGAUACCCGAGUAGUC
rnacentral:rRNA from 1 species